UGCAGAAACUGCUGAAGGAGAGGGUGAAUUAAAUUGAGCCCGGUGGGCCCAUGACACCUCAGGCCAUCCAGGCAGAGAUGCAGCAUAUA